GCCUUUGCUUCCCCUCGACGACUUUAGACGCUUACCCACACCUGUCCGGAGUUCGAUUCACUGUACCCACCCCUGUUUAGACUCAAGCCAGCAUUACCCAUCGCUUUUGACAUCGGAACAGCAAGCAUAAGGACAUUCGAACUCAGUUUUGGAUGCCCGAACCUCCUCGGUGUGGACCCACUCCUUACCCAAGAGGUUUUAUGGUGAGAUAGUAGGAACCCUUCGGUGAACUUGGUAGCACAUUAGAACUUUGUUGUAAGUAGUUCUUACUGGAGGGAUUGGUUGUUGUGUGCUGAUAUGAUAUGGUUGUUUUCUCGUGUGCCCAUGUGUGAUACUUGCAUGUCGCUUGUCGUUGUUAUCAUUUAGUAAACGUCGUUGUUGAUAAAACUGUUGAUAUAUCUUGGGAAAAGUAUGUGGUUGUGUGAAUAAAUUGUAGCCAGGUAAUCCUGGAUGACUAUCAUUGAAUUGCUAUUAUGUUCUAAUUGGUUUUAAUGAUGAAAUUUGUAUACCGGUACUAUAAUCUGUUGUUUCGAAAGUGUAUUGAAUAUUUAUGAGAAAUCGGUUGUGUUUGAUGUAUGCUGAGUAUUUAUCAAUUAUAUUUUGGUUAAGUGGUUGAUUGUGCUUUUUCUGUGAACGAUGCCUGCUGGAGCUGUUGGAUCAUGUUGGACUAUUUUAGAUUGAUUGGCUUUUACAUAUGAUCAUUUUGGUGUAUUGCAUAUUGGACUGUUAUGAGAUUGUUGAUGCAUGAGGCAUGGCGUGGUAGCAAGUAGAACUCUUAUGAGAAUUUUGGGACAUAACAAAGUAAGUAGCACGGGGGCGGGUGUGUGCGUUGAUGUGUGUUAAUAGAAAUUGUUCUUGCUGAUUUUACAUUAUAAACAUGUUUCUCUUAUUAUUUUAAUUGUUGGACAGGUUUGUGA